rfam:Streptomyces silvensis strain ATCC 53525 53525_Assembly_Contig_27, whole genome shotgun sequence.
AGACAGCACGGCGACUGGCGCACAGGGAAUCGACCCUGAGGGAGCCGUGCGAGGCAACACCUUCGAGGUGCCGCCCGCCUGGGCACCCCGG